rnacentral:lncRNA from 1 species
GAGGUUCAGAGCUUGUAUAUCAGAGAGUUCAGAGUUUGUUCAGCGCACGUUCAAUUCUUGAUAAUUGUAUAUAUGUUGCAGCUGAUCCUUCUAGUAUAUAUAUCACUAGAAAAGAGACGUUGCAAAAGGAGCCGUUGGAGUUGAUAACCUUUUGUCUUCAAGCAGUCUGUCUUGAUGCAGUUUGGUUGUAUCCAAAACUAAGAAAGAGUUUC